GAGAAUGAGUGGGAGAAGGGCAGAGAAAGAGGGAGGGAGGGAGAGAGAGAAUCCCAAGCAGGUUUUGUGCUGUUGGUGUGGAGUCCUACGUGGCACUCGAUCGCACGAACCGUGAGACCAUGACCUGAGCCGAAAUCAAGAGUCGGACGCUGAGCCCACUGAGCCACCUAGGCGUCCCGCCACAUUUCUUUCUUGACUAGUGGAGGGUGUUUUGUUUUUGUUUUGAAGAAUUACAGGUAGAGCCACGAUUUCAUCCUAGUGGAAGGACAUAUCAUCCAUCAGUCCUCAGGCGGCUUGAGUUCCCUGCUCUAGGAAACGGAAACAAGUGAUUCGGAAGUUCAAAGCAGUGAUGUCUGAUACAACUUCCCUCCAUGAGUCCCCAGCCUCCCACGUGAUAGCAAAGAACUGCAAACUAAUGGAUUACCCAAGAAAUGGUGAAUAAUGUCCACUCGAAGACUUUAAUCAUUAACUUCAGAGCAACCUUGGACACGUAUGUCCAGGUUCAGGAGCAAGUGAGGAAGGACGGUAGCCAGAAAGAUGACAUCGUUUCCAGCUGACUGGAAGCUUCAAGAUAGUGGAGGUAGAUAAAAAUAAUAUUUGAGUGUUGGGAAUUUUUUCUCAUGUUUAUGUAAGGGCAGUUUUACUAUCAGCAUGUAGGAAAUUGAAAUAUAAAUAGACAAUAAAAAUUUAUCUAGACCAUGUAAACAUCAUGGGCUUUACAAUUUGGCCUGAAAAUCUCCUAAGAUUUGCUUGCUGGAUUUCCAUGCGAUAACCUUGUUGAACAUUAAACCCCAAAAUGAGGACGGGAGGCCAGUGGCAAGGGAUUCUGAAACCAAACGGCCCUCAACUCCGAAGUCUGUUUGUCAAGAGAAGUUUUAAUUCCCUUUAUGCCAGAGUGUGGGCAAUUUGUUUCCAUAGAUCCAUAAAAAAUCAUAUGUUUUUAUGUGGUUAAAAGUAUUUUAGGGGCACUUGGGUGACUCAGUCGGUUGAGCGCCCGACUUCGGCCCAGGUCAUGAUCUCACGGUCUGUGGGUUCGAGCCCCGCGUCGGGCUCUGUGCUGACAGCUCGGAGCCUGGAGCCUGCUUCCGAUUCUGUGUCUCCCUCUCUCUCUGCCCCUCCCCUGCUCACACUCUGUCUCUGUCUCAAAAAUAAAUAAAAACAUUUUAAUAAAGUAAAAUAAAAUAAAAAAAUAAAAGUAUUUUAAAAAUAGGGGCGCCUCGGUGACUCAGUCGGUCAAGCGUCCGACUCUCGAUCUCAGCACAGGUCAUGAUCUCACGGUUCAUGAAUUCGAGCCCCGUGUCUGGCUCCUCGCUUAACAGUUUCGAGCCUGCUUAGGAUUCUGUUUCUCCCUCUCUCUGCCCCUCCUCUCUCUCUCUCUCUCUCAGAAUAAAUAAACUUUAAAAAAAAUCAUUAUUAUUCAGGGGGAAAAAUAUUCCCAGGGUCAUUACCAACCAAGGACACUGGUUUCAAAGACUGUAUUUGUGAAGGCUGCAUCGCAUAGCAACAAAGGAUUCUAAAUUCUCUCCUGCAAAUCCCUCUAAUUACCUUAGAAACGAUUCUAUGUAAAUAAAUAAAU